rnacentral:lncRNA from 1 species
AUCUCACCUUUCUGAAGUUACAGUGAAGUAGAUCGAAGCCAUAAAUUUCAUAUCCUUGAAGUUACAUUGGAAUAGAUUGAAUCUACAAGGCGUAUAGCAUAAGAUGCAGUGGAGUGAACCAAAGAGACAAGAUGCGGUGGACUGAAAAGGGACUAACUAAACAAGAAGAGUUCUAAAGCAAGUCAAGACCUAGCAAGACC